GGCACGGUGUAGGUAGGAAAGUCCAGAGAGAGGGCUGGUGUUUUAAGGCACCAGAAGGAAAGCCAUUCUCCAAGCGAUGGGAACUGACCCUAGGGCCAUUUUUUGUCGGGGAGGGUAUAGGGUUGUGAUUUACUGACAAGGUUUGUCUCUGUGUCCCUGCCCAAAUCUCAUGUUCAAUUAUAAUUCCUAGUGUUGGGGGAGGGACCUGGUGAGAAGUGAUUGUAUCAUGGGGCAGAUUUUCCUCUUGCUGUUCUCAUGAUAGUGAGUGAGUUCUCACGAGAUUCGUUUGUUUAAAAGCAUGUAGCACUUCCCCCUUUGCUCUCUGUCUCUUGCCACUAUGGUAGAUGUGUUUGCUUUUCUUUUGCACUUCCACCAUAAUUCCAAGUUUUCCCGAGGCCUCCCAGCGAUGGUUCCUGUGCAGCCUGUGGACUCGUGAACAGCUGGGCACAGGCUGGUGUCCCAGAGAAGAGAGGAGGAAGGAAAAGCAGCCCUGCAGCCUGUGGAACUGUGAACUGCCCUGCAGUCCAGCCCGUUACCUUCGAGGCUACCCUCAGAUUCCCUCUGAGUGUGAGUUUCCCUGGUGGGGAGCCUAGACCAAGCACAGGAGGCCGGACACAAUGAGAAGGUGGCCAUCUGCAAACCCAGAAGCAGGACCUCCAAAGACACUGGACCUGCCAGCACCCUGAUCUUGGAUUUCUUGGCUCUAAAACUAUAACAAAUAAAUAUGUGUUGUUUAAGUCA
rnacentral:lncRNA from 13 species